rnacentral:rRNA from 1 species
UACGUAGGGGGCAAGCGUUGUCCGGAUUUAUUGGGCGUAAAGAGCGUGUAGGCGGCCAGACAGGUCAGCUGUGAAAACUCGAGGCUCAACCUCGAGACGUCGGUUGAAACCGUCUGGCUAGAGCCCGGAAGAGGAGAGUGGAAUUCCCGGUGUAGCGGUGAAAUGCGCAGAUAUCGGGAAGAACACCCGUGGCGAAGGCGGCUCUCUGGGACGGUACUGACGCUGAGACGCGAAAGCGUGGGGAGCGAACAGG